UGGGGAAUAUUGCACAAUGGAGGGAACUCUGAUGCAGCGACGCCGCGUGAACGAAGAAGGCUUUCGAGUCGUAAAGUUCUUUUAUAUGGGAAGAUAUGACGGUACCAUAAGAAAAAGCCCCGGCUAACUACGUGCCAGCAGCCGCGGUAAUACGUAGGGGGCUAGCGUUGUCCGGAAUCACUGGGCGUAAAGGGUUCGCAGGCGGAAAUGCAAGUCAGGUGUAAAAGGCAGUAGCUUAACUACUGUAAGCAUUUGAAACUGCAUAUCUUGAGAAGAGUAGAGGUAAGUGGAAUUUUUAGUGUAGCGGUGAAAUGCGUAGAUAUUAAAAAGAAUACCGGUGGCGAAGGCGACUUACUGGGCUCAUUCUGACGCUGAGGAACGAAAGCGUGGGUAGCAAACAGG
rnacentral:rRNA from 1 species